rnacentral:rRNA from 1 species
UAGGGAAUCUUCCGCAAUGGACGCAAGUCUGACGGAGCAACGCCGCGUGAGUGAAGAAGGAUUUCGGUUCGUAAAACUCUGUUGUUAGAGAAGAACAGCGCAUAGAGUAACUGUUAUGCGUGUGACGGUAUCUAACCAGAAAGCCACGGCUAACUACGUGCCAGCAGCCGCGGUAAUACGUAGGUGGCAAGCGUUGUCCUGAUUUAUUGGGCGUAAAGCGAGCGCAGGCGGUCAAUUAAGUCUGAUGUGAAAGCCCCCGGCUCAACCGGGGAGGGUCAUUGGAAACUGUUUGACUUGAGUCCAGAAGAGGAGAGUGGAAUUCCAUGUGUAGCGGUUAAAUGCGUAGAUAUAUGGAGGAACACCAGUGGCGAAGUCUACUCUCUGGUCUGUAACUGACGCUGAGGCUCGAAAGCGUGGGUAGCAAACAGG